CCCAGACCUGCCGGGGCUCCCCUGCCGGCCCCGGGCUGCCCGCGCCGGCCAGGACCGGGCUAGAGCUUCAAGGGCAGCGUCAGCUGCUGAGUGUCUCCCGGCCCUGCGUUUUGCCAGACGUAUUUACUGGCUACACGGGAAGAAAAUAGGCUCCAGGAAGGGCUACGUCGUGUUUGCUGCUUCUGCAGAGUUCAUUCCACCCCUGGGAACUGCUCAGACCUCGCAGGAGGGGCCGGGCUGCUCCGUAGGGAAUUCAGGCGCUUUCCCUGCGCGGCGCGUGUGGGAGCGCUGAGCUCAGCUGGGAUGGCAGCAUGGGAGAUGUCUGGGAAACCCUAGGGAGUUCGGGUCACAGAUGGCAGCGGCCGCGUGUUAUCAUUCCAGACUGCACUCUGUGACCGGCUGACAAAUUGGAACAAGCUGUAAGAACCUCUCUGCUAGUGUAGUAAGGCUGUUUGCUAAUCGUACUUGUGGAUCAUUUUUUUAAAGGGUGCUACUGGCCUAAGUCAAUGCACCUCGUGCAAAAAAACAGAGUUGCAUAGGGUGCUCUGUGGGAUGCUUCUGCUGUAGUGAUGUAAACAAACUAACACAGAAUAUUAUGUGGGAAAAGGAAUAUGGAGUAACUUAAGUCCUGCAGCAACAGGUGGCAGAGCUGAGGGGAAGAAGAGAGUGCAUGUCCUGUCUCUCUGUCUUGCAUGUCUGUCAUAGCAAAAUCUUCGUCCUUUAGGGAUAGGGCUUUCUCUCACCAAGACAGCGGCAAAACACGCGGCGAAGGGAUCGCUGCCGUCGCAGGAGUUCGCUCUUGCUGGUCAUGCAGCAUGGAGCAGUUGUGCCCUGGGGCAGUCAGGAGGCGGUGAAAAGCGGAAAGAGCCUCAACAAAAAGCAAGCUCUUGCAGAACAUAUCCGAUAAUCAAAUCACAGUUCUUUCCCACCUUAAAGAUUGUUCUUUCCCCCCAGAAAAUAUACCUGAAAGAAAAUACUUAAGGGUACUGAGGCACUAAACCAGUGGCAAAGGAAAACAGAAAGAUGCUGUGUAUCGUUAAAAAAAGUUCACAGCGUCAAUCUAUGCAGGCAAAUUUGCCAAAAGGGGUAAGACUUGCUUAAUGAUUUAAGGCACAACAGCAUACUUGGCUACAAAAGAUUAAGGUCUUGGCCUUUCUCAUUGAAUCAAUAAACAUAAACUGAAAAUAGACAGAUUUAAUAUAAAUUUAUACUGAGCAGUUGAGAUAAAACUUGAACAGAAUAAAUGAGAAGGCAUUGUUAGGAAAAAAGGCUUGGGAAAUGGUAUCAGGAUUUAUUAGGGAAAUGAAGAAAGACAUAUUGUCUCAGAUUUAAAAAGGAAAUCUCUUAAAAAAUGAGGCCUAGCAGAAAGAAAGAAAGAAAGAAAGGGAACCUGCUAAUACAACAAUACUUUGUUUUCAUGGAAAAAGCAGCAAUGAAAAAGUUUUGAGAAAAAGAAAGGGCCAGGAGAAAAAGUUAAAAGAAAUGUCUUUGGUAAUGAUGGAAACUUGCUAUUAGAAAGAAAUUGAAGUUCUCCAGGUAAUAUAAACAUUUUAGAAAGUAAUAUCGAAGUAAGUUGACUAGCUUAAGAGAAACAAACAAAAAGGACAUGGGAUAGUAUUACUCAGAAGGAAGCUGAAAUGCAGGAGAUAAAUUGCAUUAAUUUUCACCACACAAAUUGUCACAAUCUGGAGAUCAACCCAAAUAAGACACAAAAAGAGGUAGCUUGCAGAAAAAUUGUGGAAAUUGUGGAAAAGGAUUAGGAAUAGAGAGUGGAAUCAGAGCAUAAGUAGAUAGCUGAACUGCUACAGGUGUUUCUGGAGACUUUUAUAUGGGAGGGAAGGAUGCCACACUGCUGUCCUAGGGAAUUGUGAGCUCAUUUUGCUAAGUGGAUGGCAGAUAAAGCUAGAACCCCAGACCCUGAGACUUUACCAUUUUAUCUUCUUGGUACGUGAAGAUACUUCAGAGAAACAUGAGACAUUCCUAAAUGUACUAUGGGCUGCACUUCCAGAAAAAGGACUGAGCAGGAAAACAGCUGAUACAUGAUGAUGUAUCUGCCCUGGCAGGGGAUGUCAGAAGAAAGGCCAAGAAAGUUAAGGAGGAAGACCCGAAACUCCCUUAUGGAGCAUUGAAAACCAAAGCUACUUACAGAAAAUGCAGAUUUUAUAUACACCUGAAAGAAAGGCAAAAGAUUGUGAUGUGAUUUCCUGGAAAGUUUACCAGCUAGAAGGGGCAACUGUGAUAAGGGCUGAGGUUCAGCCGCUCUUGUACAGCAGCACGUACACAGCUAUGAGGUAGGUUGUGUUACAGGAUGUCCUGCAGACCAGGAACAGCCUAAUAACUAUCCUGUACCAAGCUGGGCUUUCUAGGCCAUGACAGACCAGCAUUUUAUGUAAAGAAAGGAGGCAACUAAUUUCUUCAUCUACCCGAAGGAAAUGUGGAAUUUUUAAUGGGGUGUUUGACACCGUAACAGAAAAAAACCCCAAAACAAACCAUGAAUAAAAAGGAAGGAAAGCUUUUGUAGAAGGACAAAUGUAACAAUGUGGUGCAGUUAUGAGAAUAUAGACAGCUAAAGAAAAGGCAUUACAUAAAUAAAAUUAGAGAAAAACAGACUAAAAUCCCUGACCUUUCCAGGUUAACAAAGCAAUUCAGCCCCAUUUGCAAUCAGACUUAAAUAAUGGCAGUCAUUCUAACAAAAGUUAUCUUACAUUAGGAUACCUUCUCACACAAACUUAACACUUAGGUCUGACCUUGGCUUUCUGAAUAUGGACCAGUUUGUUUUUACUGUUUUUAUGACAUUCUUAACACUUCCAUUACAAUUAUUCCAUUUGCAUUUCAAAAAAUGUGCUAUGGAGGGGAAAACAAUAAUAUAAUUCCCAAUCAGUUCUGUCCCUGCAAGUUUAGCAAAAUGCAAGGGAGAGCACAUGGAACUUAUGAAACCCAAGGAACCUAUGGAACUUAGUCUGAAAGACAGAUAGAGAUAGGCAGGAUCUUCCAAACAUUUCCUGGUUUUUAUAUUAAUGGACUAAUAAACCAAUAAUGGGAGGAAGAAAAGGAUCAGCACAAAACUUUCAACAUAUUAGCUAAUAUGAUGCACUUGUCUGACAUAUAGUGUCUAUAAUUCAAAUGAGAUACUGGGGCUACAUUAUAUGAGUUCUGUCCCCUUCUUAGGUGAAUUAAGUUUUUAGCCAUAGUUAAUACAUGUUAGGGGGUUUGGUCUAGCUGUUUUUGGAAAACAACAGAACAAAAAAGCCACAUGGUUACUUCAGAGAGGUGUUUUCCUUUAGCUUCCUAGAGACAUACGCAAGAGAAGCCCUUGACUCUCUUCUGUAUGACUAGGUCCUGGUGGUUAACCUUGAUCAAAAACAUGGUAAAGUGAAACUACAGGAACUUUACCUGUUCUCCUGGUGAAGGUAAGGAGAUUUUUGUUAAGAGGUUUGAUUUCUGAAUGGCAGGUAACUGUGUCAGGCACGAGUCGAGGUAAUGUAAUACUUGGUGUUGAGAUAAAGUGCAGAGAUCCUGUUUGUAAACUAGCCAGUGGAAGAUCAAAUGACAAAGAAAACUGAGUAGCUAAAAUGCAUAGGAGGACUUUUAGAGGGUUCUGAGUCUCAACAUUGCAAUUAAAGAGCAUUGGAGUGGAAAAUGUUGUAAAUAACUCCUAUGACUUAGGCAAAAAUAUGUCACAUAACACCACCUUUCUAAUUUUGUUGGGAUAAUGGCAGGUUAAUAAAAAAGUAGAAGGGGACUGUAAAUAAUUAAGUAAGUAAGUAAAUAAAUAAAUAAAUAAAACCCAACUAAAUAACUAACUAUGGUAAAGUAGGGACCACCAUGUUAUGAAAUGGAAUUUGAAACUUAGACUCUGCUUACUAUAUCUGUGCAUGUUUUGUUCUCCCUUACUCUGUCCAGGUUAUAUGGAUUUAAGUUCAUUUACAGUGAUGUUUUUUAAAAAUUUAAUUACUGGUCUUCACAGUAAGGAUGAAUGAGUUAUUUACUGUUUUGAGAUAUUACAGGAGAUGUACUUAGGAUCUGAGAUCUGUCCAGUCCUCUGGGAUUUAGAUGGAUGAUCUCAUUAGGUUCAGAGCCACGCAGUAAGUCCAGAAAUAUACAGAUGCUAAGCAUAAUGCAAAAUCUUAAUUAUUGUUUGCAGUUAAUUAAAAUGCUAUUUUUGUUUGUUUUGCCUCCCUCUGGCAUCUUCAAGUCCUAAUUAAUUCUUAACUGUGGGAGGUGGGAUUAGGAUUGGCAGCAAAACACACCUCAAACAGCCCACCAGCACCAUAGGGCUGUACGUGCAGAAGUUCUGCCGAAGCAAAGAUCACAUUCUUGAGAAGUUAGAUAAAGGUCGCUAUUGUUCUUGCCGCCAAGAUUAUUUUUAUCGCAUUGUCAACAUAGUUGUUAAUGUGCAAACACGCAGGUGAGAUACAGAACACACCAAACUCAUAAAAAAGGCGGAGAUGUUGUAUGCACGUGCAAUCAGAGCACUGGAGAUGAUUUGCACAUAAAAAUGCUGAGGGGGAGCAAGUGUUCGCUUGACAGAGUAAGGAGCUGGCUGGCACUGUUCCUUGUGGUGAACUGCUUGGUGACAUUUAUGGCGCUGAUAAAUAAAAUUUGUGAGCAAAUAUCAUUAAUUGAUGCAGUUCAAGGAGUGGCUGUCUGGCACGUUUCUAUGGAGGUGGUAAUUCAGGUGCAUAACCAGAGCAACACUGAGGGGUUUUGGAUUUUGUUUUGUUUUGUUUUUUUCUAUAAUGUUGCAGUUGUUUCAGAGUACAAUGAGAUUUUUUGGCUUAGAAGUGCUGCUGUAAUUGGUUUCUGGGACUUUCUUGAUUUGACCUAAUUGGACAUUUUGAAAGGUUGCCAAAGUACAGGGUAGGAUUUUGCCAGUUUUCCAUCAAUGAUUAAUAAAGCUCAUUUGGCGGAUCAAUUAGAGGUUCAAAAAGAAGAUUUUGCACCAGAAUUGUUAUAAAACAAAUGAAUUCUAUUUUAUUAGUGGACAUUUUCAAUGUUGAAUGAUGAAAAACUUUGCUAUAGUGAACAGUAAAGGCACUUUUUUUUUUUUUUUUUUUAAUAAUUUCCUCCCUUCAGGUUAUUAUUAUGUUAUUUCAGUAAUUCUAUCAUCAGGGUGGGGAAGCACUUUAAUUCUGGCUUGUAGUGAUACUUUUGGCAAAAUUCGAAUUGUUGUUUUUAAAAAAUCAUUAGACUAUUAAAGAGUGGUUUAAACAGGUAAGAUUUCCUGAAAUGUUUAUUUCCUUUUCACAGUGCUUGAAGUUUAAGUAGCAGCUUUCUAAAAGUCUUUAGAAAAAACAAGUAACCGCUCUUGGUGUGUCUGAAGACCUAGUGAAUUUAAAGGCAUGAAGUGAUAUGUUUGGAGGAAGGAAAAGCUGGUAGUGUAUGCCAUCAUCAGUUUCUAAUCAUCCCAGCUCCUCCCCAAGGUCUCGUUUUCAUAAAGAUAAUUUAAAAGCAAGUGGUUCAGCCUGUCUCUGUGCAUUUAUAAUUUGUUUGUUUCCCUAGUGCACAAGUACAGAUUUGGUGGAUUGUUUUUUCUACAGUCAGAGGACUGACUAGGGUGAAUAAGUUAACAAGCAGGAGGCUCCUGCAUGUUGGAAUUAGCAACUUAUCUGUCUCAUCCAUUGCUUGUUUGUUCAUGUUUUGCUCAUUCAGAUGUAUCCUAAAGAAAUGAGAUACCCAGCUAUUACAGAAGUGCUAGUUUCUAAUUUGUUCCAGGAGUUCAUAGCCGUGGGUCUGAGCACAUCAGGAAGGACCUGUAGGUGUGUAGGUGUUUCCAUACCACUUCUCAUUGUAUUUGGGUCAUAAGCAAGUUUUUAAUCUUCAUGUUAUUGGGUUUCAGCUGACCGGGUAUCUAAAAAAAAGUGUAGCACUGCAAUGCCAUGCUAUGCUAUGCUAUGCUAUGCAUAGCUAUGCCAUGAGUUGCUAUAUUUAUUCUUUAGAAGUCAAGCAAGAGCUUUUACUGAGGCACUUCCCUCUGCAAAGCUUUAUGCACACCAGGUAACACUGCCACUCUGCUGCAGUGCUUGAAGGUCACUUGAAAAGCCAGAGUUUUGACUAAAGUGGGACUCUUCUUUCUUCUUCCUACAGAGGGAUUUUUCAAGCUGGCCUCCAAAGUACCUUCUGGGAUUCCUGACAGAUCAGGUUUUUUAGGGGAGGGAACUGCUUCUUUUGCAGACACUAUUAGCAUAAAUAUCGCAACAUGAAGCCCAUAAUCACACUCAGAGGACAUUUUCCUCUUGUAUGUCAGGCAAACUGAGUUUAAUUUGGCAUUUACUGAAAUAUGACUGUUGAAAAUCUACCAGCACUGCAUUUUACACUGAGCAGGUAUAUAUACUACACUGUGUGCUACGCUUGGGGCAAAAAAAUGGCAACCCAUUCUAAACUAAUAGAAUUAUAGCGCUAUCCAUUAAAGCAUUUCUGCUAGCACCAGGGUAAUAUUUCUGUUCCAGUUCUCUCAAGAGAAUUUAGGAACCAAAAUACUUCCAUGAAAACUCUGUGCAUAUUUCCAAAAUAAUCCAGAAAUCCAGCUAUGAAUGGAUUCAGGAUGAAGAUGGUAAUGUGAUCUCAUUUGUUGCGUGUGUUGGACCUUCUAAAAUAAAGCUUAGCAAAAUACUGCUAAAGCAACAGUGGAGAAUGAAUGGGAACAUUAUAGAGCAUUAUUUUGAAUGUUUUUACUUACUGAAAUGAGUAGAUGACCUCAUCCUCUCCAGAGUAGAGAUAGCAGGCUUCUACUCUCUGUUCUGAACUUAGUAGAGAGAUUGAAUCUCAAUUCCUAGAUUUUGUUAUUUUUACUCUAAGGUGGAGGUUGUUUCCCAGCAUGUCUAUGUUUCUUGCUCUCUUUUCCAUAGUAAUGAUUGCUUACGAAGAACAAGUUGGUUUAGAAUAGGACGAGCUGCACGAUCCCUCAAUUAAUACACCCACCCACCUGGUAGUUGAGCUCCAUAUGGUCUUGGAUUAGGAAAGAGAGAACUUGCAAAGCUCUUGCUUCUGUCAGGCCUCCAAAAUCAAGACUCUCCCCAGUGUGUUUUAGCUUUGCCUCAGAGUAACCCAGUUAUAAUUAUUCCAACUGAAGGAGCCUUUCCAAGCCCUAAUCUUUUAACUGAAACCGAUGUGGUUUGGGACAAGGGAUCUGGUUUCAAUAGGACAUCUACACAUCUUCCCCCUCCACCUUCUCUCCCAGCUGUGUUCACUCUUCGUUUGAUUCUUCUCAAAAGAGAUGUCCCUUGUCCACUGCUGAAAGGGAAGCCUUUGGUGCUGCCACAACCACUUCAAACUAGAGGCUUUACUGCAGGCUAGUUAAAUGCUAUUUCUUCUUGCCUGAUGGGCUGUCAUUGCUAGUGUGCUCCCUGACCAUCCCAUUUGCCAUGAUGGAAAAGCUACAGAUCUGAGCUACUGAAACCUGUCAUUUGUCAUCUACUUUUUGCAUUAAAAUUAAUUUAUUAAUUUCAAGUUGCUUCUGAUAUGUAUUUUUGGAAAAUACAAACUAAGGUCCACUGUCAUGAAAUUUGGAGUCAUGACUCAUUAAAAAAAUCAUCACAGAUGGCACUAGGACAAGAAUGGUCUUGAUGAUCUGUAUAGAGAAUAAGAAGAAUGAACUACUGGUUUUGUUUACUCCAGUAACCCAUCUAGCCCAGUUGCCCCUGGCUGAUGAGUAGAGGAUGCUUGCAAAAAGACUGGAAGAAAUAGAAAAAGUGUAGGAUUUCCUAACUUCUGGCAGUCAGAGGAUAUGGGAAUUUCCUAAACCAGAAAUUUCACUGGAUUGCAUCAUCAUGUUUAUUGGCCAUUGAUGGGCUUGUCGACCAUAAAUUGUCUGAUCUGUUUUGAACUUUCUUGAACCUCCACAUCAUCCUUUGAUAACAGUCCAAAUAGCCUUUUUAAGUAAAAGAGCUUUUGCAAUAAAAAGGAGAACAUACACAAAUUCCUGUUUAGUCUGGAAGCUGGCUUCUGUCUAGGAGAGCUGAGACCUAUUUUUCCCAAUACUUUCUUGCUGCAAUUUAGAAACAAAAUAAUUUUUUAGAAACAUAAAAUAUUUUUUUUUAAAUAAUUUAAUCUUACUGUUUUCUUUCAGUUCAGAUUUUUUUGCCUGUGUUCAUUUGGUUUUGUGGACUGAGCACUAAUUUCCUGUGUCAUGUGCAACCCUGCAUAACUUCAAAAAAAUUCCCUGCUGUGUUUUUUCAUGACAGAUCGAAAAUGGAUAUGAACUGUGUGUUGGAGGUUAGAGUGAAAUGGAUAUUUGCCCCAGACAAAGACUAGAGGAUGUUGGCCAAAUACCUUCAGUUAACACCAAAAUGUUUUGAAGUGUUUCAUGGCCUUUAGAGAAGAUUGGCCUCAGUUAGCAUUAAUAAUAAAUGGAAAUUAAUCUAAAGUCAUUGUAGUCACGCACUGUCCAUCAGUUUUGUUGUGUGUUUAAGCACUGCUUAUCCAUCAUUUAAAGAGGGACUCAACAGGAUGCUUUCCUGCUGUGCUGACUCACUCUGGUAGUCUAAAAAUGAAAAGGGGCAUGUAUGCUUCCUGAUUUUCACAUUCCUUUUAACACUUUUAAAACAAAAUGUUUUGGAUUCUCUUUGUCUGCCAAAAGGUGAAGUUUUCAUUUAAUCAGCAGACUGGAGUAAUUUUGAAACUGCUGUACUGUGAUUGUUUUCAUCUUUAAUCACCGUGUCCUUGUGUACUGUAGUACUCAGGAAGUAAGAGGCCUGGGAAAUUGCAAAUAAACCCCAUAUCUCUUUUAAGACCCUCCUUCAGAAAGUGAUUAGAGGGUCCCCUGCCCACCAGAUAAUGUGUGCUAGGUGGUCAGUGAUUCAGCUUAGCUCAUAUUUAAUUGCCCGUGCUCUCUGCCUGCUUGUGUACAAACAAAUUAAAAAUGGAACAGGUGAGGUGUGUAGUACUUCUGAGAAAAACACAAAGUCAUUUGCAUCAGAACUGAUGUGCCAAACAACCACUCUAAAAUCAAAGAUCUGUAGAGCAAAACAAACCAACCAGUAACAAGGAAAUCUGGUAGCUCAUGUCAGAUGCACAAUGUCCAUUACCCUUAGAAAGCCCAAAGAAACUAAAGCUCUCCCCUGCCUGCCCAGCCCUGAGGUGUGAAAGCCAGACAAAAAUUUCUUAGGGGCAAAAGUAAAUUGAGAGCAAUAAAGGAUAAAAAGCUGAAAUCCACCAAAGUACCAAGCUAAUGUUUUGUGUUAAAAUGCAAAAGAAAGAAUAUGGUUUCAUUGACAAGAGCCUUAUGCCCAAAAGGCGUACAGGUUCCCUUCCAGUUUAUCUCAGAGCUGGAUACAUCCUAGGCACACCUGGACCAGCUAUCAGGCAUUUGAUGAGGUCAGUGUUAGGUCACUUUAUGACUGAGGGGAAGUUUCUGGCUCCUGCAUUUGUGAACUAAGUCACAGGCUGAUGCAGUUGGAAAUUGUGUCUGUACAUGACCUGAACUUUGCUUCUCAGAGAGGAGGAAAAUGCUGUCAUCACUGUCCUGGUACAAACUAUGUGCUGCCUCCUCUGCUCCUCCCUCUCUCUUUAGUGCCUGCUCCGGGUCAGACAGCACAGAUACUGCAGGAUUUUGGAGGCUCUUUGACAUGUCCUGCAGUUGUACUGAACCCUUAUUCCAGGCAUAGGAAAAGCAUUUAUGUGAAUGCAUGGUAGUCACAGCACAUCCCUGAAACUCAAAGAGAAUAACAGGACCUUUCCUUGAGCCAGACAGGAGUGGUGUUUCAGGCACAGGGUGGGGGAGGCAUUGAUAGUGAAAGUUGCAGAGGGCUUAAGGUCCUGGAUUUCCCAAAUCUGGGGACUUACAGUUCAUAUGCAAGUAUCAUCUUCUGCCUAAGCAGAUUGAAGGGAAACUGUGGUCAUAUGAGGACCCAGGAGCAUCUGUCCUCAUGCAAAGCAGGUGCCUAGAGGAACACUUCAAAAUACUUUGACAUAUCAAUUCCAAAAGAUGCAGGGAAUUGGAAUCAGAAUAUCAGAGGAAGCCGUACCUCUCCAGUAUCCACAAAUAUUUGCUCUUGCCAUCAGUGAACGGUGUUCUGUGUCAGUUUCAUUCGAUGGGGAUGAUGACACAUUUUACGGCUCCCAUUCUCACCGUCACAUGGCUUUGUGUCCCUGCAUUUUAGUCAUUUCAGAGCAAUGCAUCACCACCCCACUGGCUCAUGCUGCGCUCUGUGUUUAGCAGCACAUAUUUAUGACAUGGGGAGUGAAGAAUGAAGUCUAACUCAAGUCCUUAACUAACCCGUAAGCAAGGGAUUAACUGCCUACUGCAAUCUUUUACUAAGUAUUAAUCACUUAACAUUAUUUUCAUUUUUUUGAAAUUUUUUUGCUUCCUUAGUAUGUCAACACACAACUGGGUUUGAAAUCACAAUGUUUGAGGGACUGUUGAUACACUGCUGUCGUUAGCCUGACAAGGGAAGGAAGAAGUACAUCUGGAUGGGCUACAGCUAUCAAGGUUUGCUCUUGCUUUACAAACCUGUCUUCCUGGCUGUGGUAGAGUUAAAAAAAUAAUUACAAGUUUUUCAAAGGAUCACCCACAUACACAUGGUAUGAGAGCUCUUUUCUUUGUUGGUUUCAUUUUAUUUGUACAUGACUCACUCUUGGCAAAAUGACUGAGCCUCAUGAGCCUGUAAAAAUUCUGUUUGGAUUAAAUGAUUUGCAUUAAAUGAUUUAUAACUGCAAGAA